rnacentral:rRNA from 1 species
CAGCAGCCGCGGGAAUACGGAGGGCGCGAGCGUUACCCGGAUUUACUGGGCGUAAAGGGCGUGUAGGCGGCCUGGGGCGUCCCAUGUGAAAGGCCACGGCUCAACCGUGGAGGAGCGUGGGAUACGCUCAGGCUAGAGGGUGGGAGAGGGUGGUGGAAUUCCCGGAGUAGCGGUGAAAUGCGCAGAUACCGGGAGGAACGCCGAUGGCGAAGGCAGCCACCUGGUCCAUUUCUGACGCUGAGGCGCGAAAGCGUGGGGAGCAAACCGGAUUAGAGACCCCGGUAGUCCCUGUCUCUUAUAC